AAGUUAGAUGUCUGAAUGGACCCGUACUCCGGAAUAAGCCAAACCUUGGAGAGGGACGAAAAGGAGUAGCUUUUCUAUCGUCUAUAAAAGCCUUUAUUUUUCUUCUUCGGUCAGUCUGUAGGUGAAAGUUUAAGGUCUGAAUAGAGAAGAUCUCAUUCUCCAUUUCCCCUAACUUGCUAUAGUCAUCACUUGGCCAGUGUAAAGCGACAAUUACUCAAGAGAGCAAGUAGUAAGGAUAUGACUAACGCGCGUUAGGAGAAUUUUGGAGACAAAGUCUACCUUUGCGAGAUAACUUCCAUAAUUUGUGUUCCGAAAGGAGAACAAGUGUGGACAUUUGGUACCGAGAGGUUGUCACCCUUAAACCAGAAAUGCUAUAAGUCUCGUCAAACUUUCAACGGAGAUCACUUCAUGACAAGAAAAUUAUAAGUUGGUCUAAAGUUUAUGAAACUUUUGUUAUUUUGGACGAGUUUACUGUUAUGGUUAUGUUAAUUAUAUUUUGUAAGGCACAUUUUUUUUUUUUUUUGUUUUAUUAACUUCAUUUAGGUGACUUAUACGUAAAAAAAUUGUAACUUUUUUUGGAACUAGUAUUUCCUAUAUUUUGAAUUGUGUUUAGGUACAAACCAAAAAGAUGUAGUGAAAAAACGAUACAAAUAUAAAAAUAU